UCAUAUAGGCUGUGGUUGUAAUGUUGUACUCAUGUUUAAAUUUAUUAUUAAAUAUCAAUCUUUAACUAUUAUCUUAAAACGUGAUAUGAAGUAUGAUUACGAUUAGUUUUUUUAUUGUUAUUUAAUAAUGUAUUAUUUACGUUAUAUAGUUGUGCAGUUGUGAGGCUAUGUAGUAGUCAUUUAAAACUUAAUUUAUUUGGAAAUGAAACAUCUUAUUAGCACUAAAAGUAAUAAAUUUUUGAAUAAAUGUUUAACUUCAGUUUAAAAUUAUUGAUUCAGCUUAAGAUUGCAAUCUAUAUUAUUUAUUAGUUAUAUAUUUGUAAUUAAUAUCUGUAUUCUGAGCACUAUGACUGAUUCAGAUACAGAUAGUUCAGAUUCUGAUCAUGCUAGUAUCUUUGCUAACAAUAAUGUAUUUCCUAUUUACAGCCAUUUAUUUAGAUUAUCAUCAAAUGAUAAUCCAAUAUUAGAGCCAGAAGAUGAAUCGGAUAGUGAUAAUAAUUUAGAUGAUCAUUCAUACAGUUCAUCUGGAAAUAGUGAUGCUUCAUUGCAUAACACAACUGAUGAUUCAAAUGAUGCUUCUGAUAAUUCAUCUGUUAACAUUUCAAACAUCACAUUUAUGCAAGAACAAAAUCAUGUUAAUAUUAAUGUUGAAGUGCCUAAACCUAAUUGGUGUACUCCUAAAGAAUUGUAUAACAGAGAAAUUGGAAAGUAUAAAAGACCUACUAAUUGGUAUAAUAAAUUUUAUCGCUCCUUAGUUGCUAUCCAAAAACUUAAAUUGAAUAAACAGUUAAAAGGUCACCAAGGUUGUGUAAAUGCACUAGACUUUAAUUCUUCUGGUGAUACUAUAGCAAGCGGCUCUGAUGAUUUAAAAGUUUGUCUUUGGAAUUGGUCAUUAGGAAAAUGUUUGUUAAAAUACAAUAGUGGCCACUCCGAACAUGUUUUUCAGACCAAAUUUCUGAUGUCUCAAAGUGAUAUUCGUAUAGUAUCAAGUGGUCGUGAUGGUUUAGUAAUACUUUCUGCCGUUGGAAAAAGUGAUGUUCAUUUUAACAAAAUUUUAGCAUCUCAUAAUCGUUCUUGCAAUAAACUUAGCGUACAUAAAGAUUUGCCCUAUGUUGUUUUAAGUUGUGGUGAAGAUGGUGUAGUAAAAUCAAUUGAUAUCCGUGAAUCUCCGAUAAACGAAAAUGUUAAUUCCACUAAUAUACAACAUAUUCGACGUAAUAAUGGUUCCGUUGUACGACUGUAUGAUAUCAACACAAAUCCUAUGAACCCUUUUGAAUUUAUUGUAAUUGGUGAUGACAAAUAUGUGAGAUUAUAUGAUAAGAGAAAAACAACUCAUGAUCCUGUAAAAAAAUUUCAUCGAAUACUUCCUUCAUCUAGGAGCUAUUCAAGGCCUCGACCCAGAGAAUCACACAUUACUUCAGCUGUUUUUAACUAUUGUGGUACCGAAAUUCUGGCCUCAUAUAGUGAAGAUGAUAUUUAUUUAUUUGAUGUUAAUGGUUCACCGGAUACAUAUUUACAUCAAUAUGGAGGUCAUCUUAAUAGAAUGACUAUUAAAGGAGUCAAUUUUUAUGGUCCUAAAAGUGACUACGUUAUAUCUGGGUCAGACUGUGGUCACUUUUUUAUAUGGGAUAAAAAGACUGAAGCAAUAGUUCAAAAAAAGCAUGCAGAUGCUAAUGGAGUAGUAAAUGUAUUAGAACCUCAUCCACAUAUGCCUACUUUAGCAACCAGUGGUUUGGAUAAGACAAUUAAAAUUUGGCAACCACUUAAUAAAUGUCAACAACUCAAUAUUGAAAAAUUAAAAAUGUCUAUUAUAAAAAACAGAAUGGAAAGAGAACGCAGAAUAAGAGAAUCAAAUCACUCAUCAUUCAUGGUAAAUGAAAUUAUAUAUAUUUAAAUAUAUAUAAUUCAUAUCUAACAUUUUCAAACAGAGGUCAAUUUUGUAGGCUUUUGAAGCUACUUUAAAAUCAUAGAGGAUUGUGGGAAGGCCUUACACUUUAACUUCAAGAUAUCUUUAAAUCUUCAAAAUUUAACAAUAUUUGAAUUUAUCUGUUAUUUAUGCACAUUAUUUUCUUUGAUUAAAAACAAAAUUAUACUUUAGUAUCAAUUAAGAUAAUUGAAAUAAAAAAAUAUAAAUAUGUUUUUAUUAAUAAAUACAUAUUAAACAAAAUAUAAAUAAUAAUA